GUGAACGCUGGCGGUAGGCUUAACACAUGCAAGUCGAACGGCAGCACCGUAAGAGCUUGCUCUUACGGGUGGCGAGUGGCGGACGGGUGAGGAAUACAUCGGAAUCUACUUUUUCGUGGGGGAUAACGUAGGGAAACUUACGCUAAUACCGCAUACGACCUACGGGUGAAAGCAGGGGAUCUUCGGACCUUGCGCGAUUGAAUGAGCCGAUGUCGGAUUAGCUAGUUGGCGGGGUAAAGGCCCACCAAGGCGACGAUCCGUAGCUGGUCUGAGAGGAUGAUCAGCCACACUGGAACUGAGACACGGUCCAGACUCCUACGGGAGGCAGCAGUGGGGAAUAUUGGACAAUGGGCGCAAGCCUGAUCCAGCCAUACCGCGUGGGUGAAGAAGGCCUUCGGGUUGUAAAGCCCUUUUGUUGGGAAAGAAAAGCAGCAGGUUAAUACCCCGCUGUUCUGACGGUACCCAAAGAAUAAGCACCGGCUAACUUCGUG
rnacentral:rRNA from 1 species